UCAGGCCUAACACAUGCAAGUCGAGCGGAAACGAUAGGUGCUUGCACCUAGGCGUCGAGCGGCGGACGGGUGAGUAAUGCUUGGGGAUCUGCCCUGUUGUGGGGGAUAACAACUGGAAACGGUUGCUAAUACCGCAUAAUACUUAGGAGUCAAAGGUGGCCUCUUCUUGAAAGCUAUCGCGACAGGAUGAACCCAAGUGGGAUUAGCUAGUAGGUGAGGUAAUGGCUCACCUAGGCGACGAUCCCUAGCUGGUCUGAAAGGAUGAUCAGCCACACUGGAACUGAGACACGGUCCAGACUCCUACGGGAGGCAGCAGUGGGGAAUAUUGCACAAUGGGCGAAAGCCUGAUGCAGCCAUGCCGCGUGUGUGAAGAAGGCCCUAGGGUUGUAAAGCACUUUCAGCGAGGAGGAAAGGGUUGUGGUUAAUACCCGCAAUCUGUGACGUUACUCGCAGAAGAAGCACCGGCUAACUCCGUGCCAGCAGCCGCGGUAAUACGGAGGGUGCGAGCGUUAAUCGGAAUUACUGGGCGUAAAGCGUACGCAGGCGGUUGAUUAAGCGAGAUGUGAAAUCCCUAGGCUCAACCUAGGAACUGCAUUUCGAACUGGUCAACUAGAGUAUGAGAGAGGGUGGUAGAAUUUCAGUGUAGCGGUGAAAUGCGUAGAGAUCUGAAGGAAUACCGAUGGCGAAGGCAGCCACCUGG
rnacentral:rRNA from 1 species